AUGUGUUGUCGACCGUUCACCAUUGGUAUCUCUCUGUUUCAGAUCUACUCCUCCGCAAAUCACCCCGGACAUCCUUCGAUUCGCACAACCACAUGCACACCACUCCAGAUCCACCGCCAUAAUUUGUGGGUAACUCUUUUGUUUUCUUGUUUAAAUCAUUUUGAGAUGGGUUGUGAAGUAAAUUGUAGAAGAAGAAAAGUGUUGUUGUUACUGUAA